UAUAGUCCACUAUUAUUAUAUAGUCUCCUAGUCCCUAUGUAGUCCACUAUUAUUAUAUAGUCCCCUAUUCCCUAUGUCGUCCACUAUUAUUAUAUAGUCCCCUAUUCCCUAUGUAGUCCCCUAUGAUAUAGUCCACUAUUAUUAUAUAGUCCCCUAUUCCCUGUCGUCCACUAUUAUUAUAUAGUCCCCUAUUCCCUAUGUCGUCCACUAUUAUUAUAUAGUCCCCUAUUCCCUAUGUAGUCCACUAUUAUUAUAUAGUCCACUAUUAUUAUAUAGUCCCCUACUCCCUAUGUAGUCCACUAUUAUUAGAUAGUACCCUAUUAUAUAGUCCACUAUUAUUAUGUAGUCCACUAUUAUUAUAUAGUCCCCUAUUCCCUAUGUAGUCCACUGUUAUUAUAUAGUCCCCUACUCCCUAUGUAGUCCACUAUUAUAUAGUCCACUGUAUAGGGACUAGGGUGCCGUUAGGGACUCAGUCUGGGUAUUUAACAAUGGCUGCUCCAGGCAUGCUGACUCAUCAGAACUAUACUAGACGUUAAACUCUUCAUGUGAGGAACAUUAUGCAUUGUGUUUAGAUGAGCAGGAUACCAGGUGAAACAUUGUGUUUAGAUGAGCAGGAUACCAGGUGAAACAUUGUGUUUAGAUGAGCAGGAUACCAGGUGAAACAUUGUGUUUAGAUGACCCCAGGAUACCAGGUGAAACAUUGUGUUUAGAUGACCAGGAUACCAGGUGAAACAUUGUGUUUAGAUGAGCAGGAUACCAGGUGAAACGUUGUGUUUAGAUGAGCAGGAUACCAGGUGAAACAUUGUGUUUAAAUGACCCCAGGAUACCAGGUGAAACAUUGUGUUUAGAUGACCCCAGGAUACCCGGUGAAACAUUGUGUUUAGAUGAGCAGGAUACCAGGUGAAACAUUGUGUUUAGAUGAGCAGGAUACCAGGUGAAACAUUGUGUUUAGAUGAGCAGGAUACCAGGUGAAACAUUGUGUUUAGAUGAGCAGGAUACCAGGUGAAACAUUGUGUUUAGAUGAGCAGGAUACCAGGUGAAACAUUGUGUUUAGAUGAGCAGGAUACCAGGUGAAACAUUGUGUUUAGAUGAGCAGGAUACCAGGUGAAACAUUGUGUUUAGAUGACCAGGAUACCAGAUGAAACAUUGUGUUUAGAUGACCAAGAUACCGGUGAAACAUUGUGUUUAGAUGACCAGGAUACCAGGUGAAACAUUGUGUUUAGAUGACCAGGAUACCAGGUGAAACAUUGUGUUUAGAUGAGCAGGAUACCAGGUGAAACAUUGUGUUUAGAUGAGCAGGAUACCAGGUGAAACAUUUGCCUGAAGACUCAAACUGAAUUCUCCCUCUAUGUACUCUACACACUUCAGUCUGAGACUGCUGUCAUUGAAUUAGUUUGUGCUGACAAAACGA